rnacentral:rRNA from 1 species
AGAGUUUGAUCCUGGCUCAGAUUGAACGCUGGCGGCAUGCCUUACACAUGCAAGUCGAACGGCAGCACGGAGCUUGCUCUGGUGGCGAGUGGCGAACGGGUGAGUAAUAUAUCGGAACGUACCCUAGAGUGGGGGAUAACGUAGCGAAAGUUACGCUAAUACCGCAUACGAUCUAAGGAUGAAAGUGGGGGAUCGCAAGACCUCAUGCUCGUGGAGCGGCCGAUAUCUGAUUAGCUAGUUGGUAGGGUAAAAGCCUACCAAGGCAUCGAUCAGUAGCUGGUCUGAGAGGACGACCAGCCACACUGGAACUGAGACACGGUCCAGACUCCUACGGGAGGCAGCAGUGGGGAAUUUUGGACAAUGGGCGCAAGCCUGAUCCAGCAAUGCCGCGUGAGUGAAGAAGGCCUUCGGGUUGUAAAGCUCUUUUGUCAGGGAAGAAACGGUGGAGGCUAAUAUCCUCUGCUAAUGACGGUACCUGAAGAAUAAGCACCGGCUAACUACGUGCCAGCAGCCGCGGUAAUACGUAGGGUGCAAGCGUUAAUCGGAAUUACUGGGCGUAAAGCGUGCGCAGGCGGUUUUGUAAGUCUGAUGUGAAAUCCCCGGGCUCAACCUGGGAAUUGCAUUGGAGACUGCAAGGCUAGAAUCUGGCAGAGGGGGGUAGAAUUCCACGUGUAGCAGUGAAAUGCGUAGAUAUGUGGAGGAACACCGAUGGCGAAGGCAGCCCCCUGGGUCAAGAUUGACGCUCAUGCACGAAAGCGUGGGGAGCAAACAGGAUUAGAUACCCUGGUAGUCCACGCCCUAAACGAUGUCUACUAGUUGUCGGGUCUUAAUUGACUUGGUAACGCAGCUAACGCGUGAAGUAGACCGCCUGGGGAGUACGGUCGCAAGAUUAAAACUCAAAGGAAUUGACGGGGACCCGCACAAGCGGUGGAUGAUGUGGAUUAAUUCGAUGCAACGCG